AGAGUUUGAUCCUGGCUCAGAAUCAACGCUGGCGGCGUGCCUAACACAUGCAAGUCGCACGAGAAAGCAGGCUUCGGUCUGUGAGUAAAGUGGCGUACGGGUGAGUAACACGUGACUAACCUACCUCGAGUGGGGAAUAACUCGUCGAAAGACGGGCUAAUACCGCAUAACACUUAUGAGUCAAAGCAGCAAUGCGCUUG
rnacentral:rRNA from 1 species